GAAAUGCGAUAAUUAAUGUGAAUUGCAGAAUUCAGUGAAUCAUCGAGUCUUUGAACGCACAUUGCGCCCCCUGGUAUUCCGGGGGGCAUGCCUGUCCGAGCGUCAUUGCUGCCCUCAAGCACGGCUUGUGUGUUGGGCUUCCGUCCCUGGCAACGGGGACGGGCCCAAAAGGCAGUGGCGGCACCAUGUCUGGUCCUCGAGCAUAUGGGGCUUUGUCACCCGCUCCCGUAGGUCCAGCUGGCAGCUAGCCUCGCAACCAAUCUUUUUAACCAGGUUGACCUCGGAUCAGGUAGGGAUACCCGCUGAACUUAAGC
rnacentral:misc_RNA from 1 species